GCGCAACCCUUGUCCUAGUUACCAGCACGUUAUGGUGGGCACUCUAAGGAGACUGCCGGGUGACAAACCGGAGGAAGGUGGGGAUGACGUCAAGUCAUCAUGGCCCUUACGGCCUGGGCUACACACGUGCUACAAUGGUCGGUACAAAGGGUUGCCAAGCCGCGAGGUGGAGCUAAUCCCAUAAAACCGAUCGUAGUCCGGAUCGCAGUCUGCAACUCGACUGCGUGAAGUCGGAAUCGCUAGUAAUCGUGAAUCAGAAUGUCACGGUGAAUACGUUCCCGGGCCUU
rnacentral:rRNA from 1 species